rnacentral:rRNA from 1 species
UGGUAAAAUUUAAAUUAUUUAUAAAUAAUAAAAGGUAAAAUUAAAAUAUUAUUUUGUACAAUAAAAAAUAUUAAUUGAAGCUGAAAAAGUUUAGUAAUAAACUAGGAUUAGAUACCCUAUUAUUCUAAAUUGAACAUAAAUAAACUUAAUUAGUAAAAGAUAUAUACUUUAAAUUUAAAAAAUUUGGCGGCAAUUUAAUCUUUCCAGAGGAACCUGUUUUAAAAUCGAUAAACCACGAAAUAUCUUACUUGUUUUUGUAAAUUUUAUCAGUUUGUAUACCAUCAUUAUCAGGUAAUUUUUAAAGAAAAAAUUACUAAAUUUAAUUAUUUAGGAAAAUUAGAUCAUGGUGCAGUUUAUAAACAAGGUAAAAUGGGUUACAAUAAAUUACUUUAUUGCGGAUUAAUAAUAUAAUUUUAUUAUGAAGAAGGAUUUGGUUGUAUUUUUAGUUUAAUAAGCUAAUAAGAUAUAAGCUCUAAGUUGUGUACAUAUCGCCCGUCGCUUUCAUCUAUAAAU